rnacentral:misc_RNA from 1 species
GGGAGUAAAAGUCGUAACAAGGUUUCCGUAGGUGAACCUGCGGAAGGAUCAUUAAAGUUAUAGUCCCCCGGCCCUCUGGGCUGGGGUCUUCUAUACCACCCUUUGUUUAUUACACCUUUGUUGCUUUGGCAGGCCUGCCCUCGGGCUGCUGGCUCCGGCCGGCUCGCGUCUGCCAGAGGACCUAAACUCUGUUUGUAUAUGAAGUCUGAGUACUAUAUAAUAGUUAAAACUUUCAACAACGGAUCUCUUGGUUCUG